AGAUUGAACGCUGGCGGCAUGCCUUACACAUGCAAGUCGAACGGCAGCGCGGGAGCAAUCCUGGCGGCGAGUGGCGAACGGGUGAGUAAUAUAUCGGAACGUGCCCUGUAGCGGGGGAUAACCUAUCGAAAGAUGGACUAAUACCGCAUACGCUCUACGGAGGAAAGCGGGGGUCGCAAGACCUCGCACUAUAGGAGCGGCCGAUAUCGGAUUAGCUAGUUGGCGGGUAAAAGCCCACCAAGGCGACGAUCCGUAGCUGGUCUGAGAGGAUGAUCAGCCACACUGGAACUGAGACACGGUCCAGACUCCUACGGGAGGCAGCAGUGGGGAAUUUUGGACAAUGGGCGCAAGCCUGAUCCAGCCAUGCCGCGUGAGUGAAGAAGGCCUUGGGUUGUAAAGCUCUUUCGGCAGGAACGAAAUGGUUCGUGCUAAUACCACGGACUGAUGACGGUACCUGAAGAAGAAGCACCGGCUAACUACGUG
rnacentral:rRNA from 1 species